GACGAACGCUGGCGGCGUGCCUAAUACAUGCAAGUUGAGCGCUGAAGGUUGGUACUUGUACCAACUGGAUGAGCAGCGAACGGGUGAGUAACGCGUGGGGAAUCUGCCUUUGAGCGGGGGACAACAUUUGGAAACGAAUGCUAAUACCGCAUAAAAACUUUAAACACAAGUUUUAAGUUUGAAAGAUGCAAUUGCAUCACUCAAAGAUGAUCCCGCGUUGUAUUAGCUAGUUGGUGAGGUAAAGGCUCACCAAGGCGAUGAUACAUAGCCGACCUGAGAGGGUGAUCGGCCACCUUGGGACUGAGACACGGCCCAAACGCCUACGGGAGGCAGCCGUAGGGCAUCUUCGGCAAUGGACGCAAGUCUGACCGAGCAACGCCGCGUGAGUGAAGAAGGUUUUCGGAUCGUAAAACUCUGUUGGUAGAGAAGAACGUUGGUGAGAGUGGAAAGCUCAUCAAGUGACGGUAACUACCCAGAAAGGGACGGCUAACUACGUG
rnacentral:rRNA from 1 species